GAUGAACGCUGGCGGCGUGCUUAACACAUGCAAGUCGAACGGAAAGGCCCAAGCUUGCUUGGGUACUCGAGUGGCGAACGGGUGAGUAACACGUGGGUGAUCUGCCCUGCACUUCGGGAUAAGCCUGGGAAACUGGGUCUAAUACCGGAUAGGACGAUGGUUUGGAUGCCAUUGUGGAAAGUUUUUUUGGUGUGGGAUGAGCUCGCGGCCUAUCAGCUUGUUGGUGGGGUAAUGGCCUACCAAGGCGUCGACGGGUAGCCGGCCUGAGAGGGUGUACGGCCACAUUGGGACUGAGAUACGGCCCAGACUCCUACGGGAGGCAGCAGUGGGGAAUAUUGCACAAUGGGCGCAAGCCUGAUGCAGCGACGCCGCGUGGGGGAUGACGGCCUUCGGGUUGUAAACUCCUUUCGCUAGGGACGAAGCGUUUUUGUGACGGUACCUGGAGAAGAAGCACCGGCUAACUACGUG
rnacentral:rRNA from 1 species